rnacentral:rRNA from 1 species
UACGGGAGGCAGCAGUGGGGAAUAUUGCACAAUGGGCGCAAGCCUGAUGCAGCCAUGCCGCGUGUAUGAAGAAGGCCUUCGGGUUGUAAAGUACUUUCAGUCGUGAGGAAGGUGUUAAGGUUAAUAACCUUAGCAAUUGACGUUAGCGACAGAAGAAGCACCGGCUAACUCCGUGCCAGCAGCCGCGGUAAUACGGAGGGUGCGAGCGUUAAUCGGAAUUACUGGGCUAAAGGGCACGCAGGCGGUUAAUAAGUUGGAUGUGAAAUCCCCGGGCUUAACCUGGGAAUGGCAUUCAAGACUGGUUAGCUAGAGUCUUGUAGAGGGGGUGAAUUCCGAUGUGUAGCGGUGAAAUGCGUAGAGAUGUGGAGGAAUACCGGGUGGCGAAGGCGGCCCCUGGGACAAAGGACUGACGCUCAUGUGCGAAAGCGUGGGGAGCGAAACAGGGAUUAGAUACC